rnacentral:misc_RNA from 1 species
CACCACAAGCACUGUCACGCUUUCUAGGCCGGAUUAGAGGCAGAUGUCUCCGUGGGGAGACUACACAAAGCAGCACUGAGGCAGAGUUCAACAUCUUGCGAUACGCACAGCGAUACCAGCGGCGGCGACAGCGUGCACGCGCGUGGGUGCACACAGACUUGACCCUCUCCGAGAGAAGAGGGGCGACCGUCUGUGUGUGUCGCCUGCCCUCCUCUCUUUGCUGUCCCCCCCUCCCCCCCCCCCACACACACACACGCACAUCUUCACCGUUCCGCUUCCACUUAUCUGCCUCGCUCUCGUCUGCGAGUGCUCUGCUGAAGCCUCUUGGGUAGUACAGCCCCCCCCUCCUGUCGCUAGUGCCUCUUACCGAAAGCCAUGUUCCGACACACCGCGCGCCGCAUGUCGAGCCUAUCGAGUUUCACCGGGAUCGAGGUUGAUCCUUACACGGCGAAGUCGAUGUUUUUGUUUGGGUUCAUUGCGUCUGUCGGCUUCUUGUCUGUCUACUCCGUGAAGGAGACGAAGAAGGCGGGGCCGAUCGAGUUGCCGGAGGAGCUUGAAGCGCAGCGGCAGCGACACAACGAUCCGCGGCGACCGCCGUGGCCGCUGCUGCACCAGCGCGUCGUGCUGCUCCGAGAGGGCAAGGGCGCCCCCGAGGAUAUCGCGCUCAUGUGGGAGCAGACGAAACACUACUACCCGGCGGACUGGCUGAUCCCGCUGGAGCUCACGCAGGUGCUCAAGUACUCGAGCGGGAAGUACCUGCAGACGUAUGUGGCAGAUCCGGACGAGAUGCGCAAGGAAGUGCUGAUGCAGCUGCUGAACGUCAAGUACGGCCGUGUCAGUGAUCUCAAAGGCGGGCGAGUGAACAAGGAUGUCGAGGAGAUCAUCUCCAUGGCGGUCGACGACCUUGAAAACAUGGACCUGAACCCGUCCGCGGACGCGGUGCUCAUCCCGACCCACACGUGACACGCGUAGAUGCGAACCUGACAAUGGGCCGUACGAAUGCAGGGAGAAUACACAGAAAAGAGGCAGCGAAAAUGCGGUGUGGUCUGCGCUACUGUUGCCGAUAGCUUUCAUGUUGGCCGUGCACAUGCGUGUUUCAUGCGCGCAUGCAUCUCUCCCCCUCUCUUGUGUUGCUCUCGCUGUUGCCUGUUCUGUCGUGCUGACCGCUCAGCGAGGGCUAAUCUGACCUUCUACUCGCACCCUCACACUGCCAAGCCCAC